CGGGGCAAGGACAGAGAUUGGGGCUCUCCUUCCCCGCACUUGCCUUCCCUGUCCUUAGAAGAAUGGCAAAUAGAAAAUCCCCAAGGGUAGAGGGAUGGGAAGAAGCUCUCUAAGGCCCUAGAGGGUUGUCAGUUUGGGAAAUUCCAAAAAAAUUCAAAUCCACUGGGGGGAUGAAGAGAGAAGAGGUAUACCUGGGAGGAAAGAAAAAAACUGGGGGUUACUGGACAUAUGUUAGAAAGGAGGGGUUACCACAUCCAGAUGGGCUUCUUAGUGAGAAUUCCAAGUAGGUAGAAAACAGAAUCCCUCCCUUGCCUCCCGCAUCAGGUAGAUAGUCUAUCUGCAAAGUAGCAGGAUGGAUCUGCAAAACCUGCUUAUUCUAGAAUAUGCAUUUCCAGCUUAGCCCUCAUUUGAAUAAUAAGAGAAGAGAAAGAGAGAGAGACAGUGUGUGUGUGUGUGUGUGUGUGUGUGUGUGUGUGGGCGCGUGCGCGCGUGCACACGCACGCACACAGACCAUCUGCUUAAGGCAAGCCUCUGCUGGGGAAUAAAUCACUGAAUGAGGCAUCAGGCAGGGAGGGUUUGAAGGGUACAGAGCAAGGCUGACAGCCACUGCUCACAGGGAAGUGGGACAGGAGUUGGGUGGGGUAGGGAGUGUUUGGCUGUAGGAGUCCCAGUUCUCUGGAAUAAGAGGGAGCCAAGAAAGAUGUGUCUUCAGUCUCUAGACUCAUUCCAACUUGGGCUGGGGUGGAGGGUUAUUCUAGUCUCUUUAGUGACCCAGUCCGUCUGGAGAGGAAGAAAAGGAGAAAGUCCUACCUGAGACACGGUCUGCUCCGUAAGCGGAACAUCUUCACCCUAUGGCACGGAGAAACAAGCAUUUAGCAUGGGAGAAAGCUGGAGUGAGACCUGACUGAAGUUUGGUAGUGGAGAAGGAAAAGGCAGAUGCCCGACUUCUCAGUCCCUUCUAGGUGGUACAGCCAUAAUUUUACUUGGCCAGCGGGACUGUGAGCAGAAAAGGGUCAUUUCAUCCAUCCUCUGUUUUAAGGCAGGAGGACUUCUUAAAAGAUUUAUUCCAUUCCAAGUAAUCAGCAGGUUAUCUGAUCCUCAACUUGGGGGUGGGGGACCUGAUUCCCUAGUCAGAGAAGACCUUCCCUGAAUAUCAAUAUCGCCAGGGAAAGGAUGAGGGGGAGCCAGGGGUAAUUUAAUGGAUCCCGCAAGGCCUGAUGGGUAACGACAGCAUGUUAAUUUGAAGAAAUAAACUGCUGCAACAGCAGCCUGAGAAGGGGAAGGCGGGAGUGGGUGGUGGGGGGGACCCUCUCUCUUGCCACAUAGAGACAUAUGUUAGAGGAGAAGAUUAAACUAUGCAAAUGGAGCCCACGGCAGUUAAGGGAGAAGAUUUCCCAUUACCCGGCACUGUCAGCCUUCACUCCGUGGAGGUCAGAGCUGGGACAUUCUAUGAAUGGGGAGAUUUGCUUUGCUCAAACAUCGAGGCACCCCAUAGUUUGCUGGUGGGCUCUCUCUACACCCACCAUUUUCUCCCCAGCAGACCUGGAGGCUUCUACGGUUAACCCAAAGGCCCCUUUCUGGUAUCCCUAGCACCAAAGAGGACUGAGGUUCUGCAAAUAAAUGCUUCCUGAUAGACAGGUGCUGUCCUUAGUUAUGUAAAGACUUUAUGACAAGAAAGACACUCCUCUGCCUCACUUGAUUGGGAUCCAUCCCCAAAGGAAGUUAUAAGCCAACCUCAACUUCCUUUAUAGUUUCAGAAUCAUUAAUGUUAAAGUUUCUUUUACUCAUCUUUGAUUCAAUUAAGUAUGUACUAAAUGUCCCCUGUGGGCAAAGACUGUAUGAGACGCUAGGUAGCAGGUUAGGGACAAAAGUAUGCCCCUUCUGCUUCCCCUCUUUGAGACAAUGAGAAUUUGAAAGGGGAAGAGAAGGUUGUAUGUAUUCUACGAGCCCUGACCUUUAGAUAAAUUUAGCAGGUCUGGCCCUAGAGGGUGAGUAGACGGGGGAUGUAGGGGAGCACACUCUUGCUUACCCUUAAUGCUACCCGGUGUACCACUUGCUGGGGAUCACUCUCUAGGAUCACCCUAAGAAGACAAAGAAGAGACCAUCGUUCACUCUGGCCUGAAGGACAGACUCAUUGUGGGGAUACUCUGGUCACUAAGGCCACUUGCCUUAGGACAGAGGCAACAAUCCCACCCUCUCACCCCAGCUCCAAGGAGGUUCCAGGCAGGUCAGAAAACUCACCCUCCAUCUACGAUUUCAUCCACAGCCAAGAAGAGACCCUCCAUGUUCUCCAGCAGAGCUCGUUUUUCUACAUUUUUCCUGAGUCCCCAAGAGAAGAGAAAAAUCAGCCUAAGACACAUAGGAACCUAGCACACCGUCUGAGUUGGGGAUCCUAAACUAGACCAACAAAACGCCUCCACCAACCGCACAGACCAAAAAGUAAGUUAAAUGUCAAGAAUGGCCUGCUCACCUCAGCAUCUGGCUCAAUGAGUCAAAGAGGCAAUUCAGAACAGCCAUGAGCAUCAGCUGUUGGGAGACAGGAGAAGCAGAAGGAUAAGGUUCAAGGCCCUGAAAGCUGCUACCUGAAAACAAAACCUGCCAAUUCAUUAAGCAUCAAAAGACAUGGGCUUUCACAAAGGACCAAAAGCAUAAGGUGGAAGUCAGAGCAAAAACAGGAAGAGGAACUGUGGUUUCUCGCAGAAAUAAAUUCUGCUACACGA